AUUUGAAACCUGUCCCUAUAUUUUCCUUCCCAGGAACCCCUGGAUAAAGACCAGCUCAACCAUUGCUGAGAAAACAGACCUAGGCUUCCCAGGGCGGUUAACCCGCCGGCCUCUGGGCAGAGACUAAAAGACAAAACAAAAUAAAACAACAACAAAAAACUCCCAGUGUGUUUCCUACUCUUCUUUUUCUUGGAGAAAAGCAAAGGGAGAGAAAUGGACUUCACCAGUGGUCUUUGGCUUCAUCAGUUCACAGGGAGCACUUGAAGGACUAAGUACUGUGGAGAUCUUGGUGUCUUUAGGGUAGAGCAAAGUCCUCUUCUGGCCCCAUUCCGAGAUCUCAUCCUCUUCUGAAUGGAUAUCUGUGUUGGUAAUCUGGAACACCACGGGGAGGGAUUUUAUCGUCACUGAGUUCCAGUGAAUGCUUCUAGAAGACUUGCAGGAGAUUCUGAUUGAGUACUAUGUUUCACCCAAUUCCUGUUCGCCCUCUUUACCUCCAAUAUAAAAACAACUUUGGAAAGCAUUCCCAUUUGGCCUUUGUAAAAGGGUAAGUGAAAUACCUAUCUCAUUUUAGUUCACCUGUAAAAUGGGUUUCUCAUUUCUCGAUCAAGCCUAGUGUGAAGGGACGCAUUGGACUUUAAAUUGUUUUAUACCCUUCAUCUAUUUUUUUUAAAGAUCUGAACUGUUGAUGUACAGUUUUUAAAAUGCUAGAGCUAGCAAAAGUUGACAACUUUCCAUCUGAUUGUAUUUAUUGAAACGUGCAUCUACAUAUAUUUACUGGACUUCUUAGUGUACAUUUUUCUUCCUCUAGGAAAUGGCAUCAAGAUGGUUCAACUAAGACAUGAUCACUAAAAACAUUAUAAUAAUACCUUUUUGAAAACCUCAGUUUCUCCUGUUUACUAAAUAUUUAUUUCAUCAACAUGGGCUGCGUUCCACUGUGUCAGGAUUCUGCAUGUGGGUGGAGCACUGUUCCAGCCUGAGAAGAUGGUUCUGAGGCCACUUAGCAAGACAUUUUCCAGCAUGAGCAGGUUUCUCUGUGGAAAUAGUGACACCUGUUCUGGUGUGUUGUCUUUCCUCAGGGAACUUAAGGGGUACAAAGCUCCUGAAAAUGUUCUUUAUGCUGGUUGAAGCUCUUAUGUCGCUGUACUGAUUCCCUACGAUGCAGAUUUGAAUCACAGAGCAAUUAAAAUAUGGAUCAAAUAAGGCUGGGGUUCACCAAGGCUGAAAGCUGUAGCCAUUCAAGGCAUCAUUUCUGUCAUGAAAAUAUAGGACCUUUUCAAAACAUGCCUUCAGGAAGGUGUUCCCUUUUCAAACAAAAGUCUAAUGACUGCAUAACUCUUCUUGACCACAUCUUACACUUUCUCUAGACUUGCUUGUUUACAGCUACUGGAACAAAAAGAUGAAAUGAAUAAAGCACACUGAUUGUC